GUCCACGCCGUAAACUAUGGAUACUAGGUAUGGGAGUAUCGACCCUUUCCGUGCCGAAGCUAACGCUUUAAGUAUCCCGCCUGGGAAGUACGGUCGCAAGACUAAAACUCAAAGGAAUUGACGGGGCCCGCACAAGCAGCGGAGCGUGUGGUUUAAUUCGAUGCAACGCGAAGAACCUUACCAGGGCUUGACAUGUUGGAAGUAGCGGACCGAAAGGCGAGCGACCUGUCAAGUCAGGAGCCAUCACAGGUGCUGCAUGGUUGUCGU
rnacentral:rRNA from 1 species